CCUACGGGAGGCAGCAGUUGGGAAUUUUGCACAAUGGACGAAAGUCUGAUGCAGCAACGCCGCGUGCGGGAUGAAGAUUUUCGGAUUGUAAACCGCUUUUAUUUGGGAGUAACUGUUUGAACGUACCAAAUGAAUAAGCACCGGCUAACUCCGUGCCAGCAGCCGCGGUAAUACGGAGGGUGCAAACGUUGUCCGGAAUUACUGGGCGUAAAGCGCAUGUAGGUGGUCUAAUAAGUGAACGAUUAAAUACCGACGCUUAACGUCGGAAAGGUUAUUCAUACUGUUAGACUCGAGGAAGACAGGGGCAGAUGGAACUUUAAGUGUAGGAGUGAUAUCCGUAGAUAUUUAAAGGAACACCAAUGGCGAAGGCAGUCUGCUGGGUCUUUUCUGACACUGAGAUGCGAAAGUGUGGGGAGCAAACGGGAUUAGAUACCCCGGUAGUCCACACUGUAAACGAUGCUCACUAGGUCUUGGAGGGUAUCGACCCCCUUUUGGACCGAAGCUAACGCGUUAAGUGAGCCGCCUGGGGAGUACGAACGCAAGUUUAAACUUAAAUGAAUUGACGG
rnacentral:rRNA from 1 species